UGUGCCCUGACAGGGAGUCUUUAGCCAUAUAUAAUUUCCUCACCUGGCCAGGCACUUGCUCUUUGCUCUCUCACCUCAUUUCAGUAAUGCAGAACAUCUGCUAAGCCUGAGCCACAGACUCCCAUUUUAAACUAGUCUAAAGUAUGCCUUUGUAACCGGAUUGCCAUUUUAAGCCUGCCUGAACAAAACUGCUGUUGUCCGUUAUUUCCACUUCAACAAGAAAUUCUGAGAUCCUUCAUAAUGGGCCAAACAAGUUUAAGUCAUGUGAUUCUGGUCCUACUGGGGCAACAGGUGUUUUCCCGAGAAGACAUACAUACAUGGUGAGACAUAUUUUUUCUAUGCCAUUCUUAUUCAAAACUUGCAUGUGGCAUCAAGUGGGGCUGGUGGGUAGCACCAAGGUGCAUUUUUUUUUCUUUGUUGACGAUCUUCUCCUUGUUUCCAAGCUUAACCGAGGAAACAGACGGGGCCAAUUUCAAAUCCAAACUUCUGAUUCUGAUCACCAAAGUCAUUGAUCAUCACAUCAAAAAUAGGCACUUGGUCAAUUUUGGGAGUAUCAAUUUCAAGAACAGUCUUUGCAUAGCCUUUUCGUGUCUGAAAGAGAAAAAAAAAACACAAACCAAAAUGAAGGUUAGACACGCUCUGGAUGUUGCCAUCUGUAUAUCAGGGAUGCACAGAGAGAUUCUCCCAGGAGCUGUCCCUCAACUGUGGAAUUUGUUUCUUCAGCAAAGCUUGAGCCUGAUGAUCUGUCAUGUGCCCCAAGUCCUGGGGAUGGAGUGGACUAUAAUAGAAACCAGCUGCAACUACAGAUCUAAAACAAGCAAGGGAAAGAAGAGGCCUUGCAGGCAGCAGAGAGCUCCUAUGGGUACACUUUGGUCCUGACCCUGAGCACCAGAAACUACAGGCAAAUGACUGAAUGUGACGAUGAAAGUCGCUCAGAACAAACUUGAACGCAGAUUGCCCAUGGUGGGGAUCAAAAGGGAUGCAGUCAAAAUGUCAAACACGUUGCUGGCAUUUUGUAUCUUGUG